AGCGAACGCUGGCGGCAGGCUUAACACAUGCAAGUCGAGCGCCCCGCAAGGGGAGCGGCAGACGGGAGAGUAACACGUGGGAACAUACCUUUUGGUUCGGAACAACUGAGGGAAACUUCAGCUAAUACCGGAUAAGCCCUUACGGGGAAAGAUUUAUCGCCGAAAGAUUGGCCCGCGUCUGAUUAGCUAGUUGGUGAGGUAACGGCUCACCAAGGCGACGAUCAGUAGCUGGUCUGAGAGGAUGAUCAGCCUCACUGGGACUGAGACACGGCCCAGACUCCUACGGGAGGCAGCAGUGGGGAAUAUUGGACAAUGGGCACAAGCCUGAUCCAGCCAUGCCGCGUGAGUGAUGAAGGCCUUAGGGUUGUAAAGCUCUUUUAACGGGGAAGAUAAUGACGGUACCCGUAGAAUAAGCCCCGGCUAACUUCGUGCCAGCCGCCGCCGUAAAAC
rnacentral:rRNA from 1 species